UGGGCAGUCACUGAUUGUCUGAGAGCGUCAGCUGACCACUCUAAGCCAGUUAGUGGUGUUCCUUCCUGGCAGAACUCCGCGCUUCCUGUAGCUGAGAUGCACAAGCCAGAUGUCACUUGGGGCACUUGCAGAUUGGCACUGGAGGAACACGUUGGCAUUAAGCUGUUUGAGAAAGGUUUCACCCUUCAAGGUAAGAGUGUGCCGGGUGCCUCCUGGCACCAUAACAACUUAAUUAGCAUGACGUUGUUAUGAUAAACGGAAUGUCCCUUUGACUAAACUUUCGGAUUUAUUCACCAAACUGAAAAUUGACAACUAAAUUGCAAAUUGUAAGCCCCAAUAACUAUUGAUAUAGCUCAACUAUUUGGGCUUAAGACAUGCAAUUCCCUUUUUGAGUUCUCCAUGAUUCCCAAUCUAAUAAGUGAACACCUUUGUGUAUGUACUCUGUCCAACAAAAUGAUGUGCAUCCAUGUAGCAGGUGUAGAAUGAAGCACUGAAGCAUGCAUAAAAAUUAGAUAUUUUGAUUUGCAUGCAGCUGCUUAAAUCCCCUCUCUUAUCAAUCUGCUUGCAAGAUACCUGAGGAAGGAUAGAGUCUUUAUGCCGUGCCUAUUUCCUUAUUGUUAACGCUAAAAGAGAGGACAGCAACUGUGUGCCACGCUGGGAAGAAUUAAUAGAAGCGGUUUUCCUCCACAGACCCCCUGACGUCAGCCCUCUAAGUGCGUGGAGAAUAAUCUAAUGCUAAAACACAUCUGGAUCCAGACACAGAGGGGGCCCCGGAGCAGACACAGGGAGGGAAGAUCUGAGCUUUCCAAAAAAAAGAGCCUGCAGCUCCUGCCAAUAUCCUACACAGAGAUGUAAACAGUCAGGAGCCCAGAAUUGAGGAUGGAGAUUUGUGUCUGAGUAUUAGAUAGAAGAGAAAAACAUGUCGAGAGGAAAGGCGUGAACAUGAAAAUAAAUAAAUAAAAAA
rnacentral:lncRNA from 1 species